GCUGGGCAUGGUGGCACAUGCUUGUAAUUCCAGUAUCCUGGGAGGCUGAGGCAGGAGGAUCACAAGUUGGAAACCAAUUUCAGCAACAGUGAGGCGCUGAGCAACUCAGUGAGGCCCUGUCUCUA
rnacentral:sRNA from 1 species